rnacentral:rRNA from 1 species
AAUCAACGCUGGCGGCGUGCCUCAGACAUGCAAGUCGAACGCGAAAGUCCCCUUCGGGGGACAAGUAGAGUGGCGCACGGGUGAGUAACACGUAGGUAAUCUACCUUCGGAUGGGGAAUAACAACCGGAAACGGUUGCUAAUACCGCAUAAUGCAGCGGCACCUAAUGGUGACAGUUGUUAAAGCGGGGGAUCGAAAGACCUCGCGUCUGAAGAGGAGCCUGCGGCGGAUUAGCUAGNGGUAAGGUAAUGGCUUACCAAGGCGACGAUCCGUAGCCGGCCUGAGAGGGCGGUCGGCCACACUGACACUGACAUACGGGUCAGACUCCUACGGGAGGCAGCAAGUCGGGAAUUUGGGCAAUGGGCGAAAGCCUGACCCAGCAACGCCGCGUGAAGGAU